UACAGAGGGUGCAAGCGUUACUCGGAGUUACUGGGCGUAAAGGGCGCGUAGGCGGUUGAAUAAGUGAGAUGUGAAAUCUCCGAGCUCAACUCGGAAAUGGCAUUGAAUACUACUCUGCUCGAGGUUUGGAGGGGGGACUGGAAUUCUCGGUGUAGCAGUGAAAUGCGUAGAUAUCGAGAGGAACACCAGUGGCGAAGGCGAGUCCCUGGACAACACCUGACACUGAGGCACGAAAGCUAGGGGAGCAAACAGG
rnacentral:rRNA from 1 species